GAUGAACGCUGGCGGCGUGCCUAAUACAUGCAAGUAGAACGCUGAAGGAGGAGCUUGCUCUUCUGGAUGAGUUGCGAACGGGUGAGUAACGCGUAGGUAACCUGCCUGGUAGCGGGGGAUAACUAUUGGAAACGAUAGCUAAUACCGCAUGACAACAGUUAUUGCAUGAUAACUGUUUAAAAGGGGCAACUGCUCCACUACCAGAUGGACCUGCGUUGUAUUAGUUAGUUGGUGAAGUAACGGCUCACCAAGGCGACGGUACAUAGCCGACCUGAGAGGGGGAUCGGCCACACUGGGACUGAGACACGGCCCAGACUCCUACGGGGGGCAGCAGUAGGGAAUCUUCGGCAAUGGACGGAAGUCUGACCGAGCAACGCCGCGUGAGUGAAGAAGGUUUUCGGAUCGUAAAGCUCUGUUGUAAGAGAAGAACGAGUGUGGGAGUGGAAAGUUCACACUGUGACGGUAUCUUACCAGAAAGAGACGGCUAACUACGUG
rnacentral:rRNA from 1 species